rnacentral:rRNA from 1 species
AGAGUUUGAUCCUGGCUCAGGACGAACGCUGGCGGCGUGCUUAACACAUGCAAGUCGAACGGAAAGGCCCUUCGGGGUACUCGAGUGGCGAACGGGUGAGUAACACGUGGGUGAUCUGCCCUGCACUUUGGGAUAAGCCUGGGAAACUGGGUCUAAUACCGAAUAUGAUCAUGGCCUGCAUGGGUUGUGGUGGAAAGCUUUUGCGGUGUGGGAUGGGCCCGCGGCCUAUCAGCUUGUUGGUGGGGUAAUGGCCUACCAAGGCGACGACGGGUAGCCGGCCUGAGAGGGUGACCGGCCACACUGGGACUGAGAUACGGCCCAGACUCCUACGGGAGGCAGCAGUGGGGAAUAUUGCACAAUGGGCGCAAGCCUGAUGCAGCGACGCCGCGUGAGGGAUGACGGCCUUCGGGUUGUAAACCUCUUUCAGUAGGGACGAAGCGCAAGUGACGGUACCUAUAGAAGAAGGACCGGCCAACUACGUGCCAGCAGCCGCGGUAAUACGUAGGGUCCGAGCGUUGUCCGGAAUUACUGGGCGUAAAGAGCUCGUAGGUGGUUUGUCGCGUUGUUCGUGAAAACUCACAGCUCAACUGUGGGCGUGCGGGCGAUACGGGCAGACUUGAGUACUGCAGGGGAGACUGGAAUUCCUGGUGUAGCGGUGAAAUGCGUAGA